UGCUCAUUUUUUCACAAAGCACUCUCUCUCUCUCUCUCCCUUUUCUGCAAACUCUCCACACCCUCUCUUUUAUUCAUUGCCGUUACAAAAUAAAAUUCUCUCUUUUAUUUUGGAGCUUGAUCUUGAUUUCGUAAGUUAGUUCAUCAUCAUCGACACAUAGUAGAAGAUCACCGAGAUAACUCCAAAUCAAGUCACUCAAAAGGUUUGUACCGUGAAGAGAAUACAUAAGACCUUCAGUUGAAAAAGCACAAGAAGAGAAGAAAUAAAUCAUUGAUUAGCUUUAUUUCCAGGGAAAGUUGUAAAAGUUUCAUGGGAAAAAGUUUGUAGGCCUAUCAAAGAAGGAAGUCUUGGAAUUAGAAGCUUAUCAAAAUUGAAUGAGGCUUUAAAUUUGAAGCUUUGUUGGGACAUGAUGAUUUCAAAGGAGCAAUGGUAUGCAUUUAUGAGACAUAAUAGAGCUUUGUUGGGACAUAUAGAUUUUAUGUGCAGUCUUUGUUUUAAAAGUUUUGAAUCCACUCAUCACUUAUUUUUUGAGUGCUCAGUUUCUGUUCAAAUUUGGGAUUGGUUCAGCAAUCUCAUCAAUUUGAAUUUUCACAUCAACAAUACUGAUGAUUUAUGGAGGAUUUGUGAUAGAGAGGUUGGGGCCGCCAACGUAAGUUGGUUGUCAUUGCUGCUGUCAUCAACAUUGUGAACACUGUUUGGUAUACAAGGAACCAAUUUAGAUUUAACAAUGUAAUGUAAAGCCUAAAACUUUUCGAUCUACAGUUUCCAUCAUUGAAGUUAUUUCGAUGCCUCUAUUUUUCUCUUUAACAAAAUGCAACACUGAUGAAACAGCUUCUGGUAGUCUA